rnacentral:misc_RNA from 1 species
UUUCCGUAGGUGAACCUGCGGAAGGAUCAUUAACAAAUCUGCUAUAUGGCGAGCCCGAAAGGGAGCGCACAUAUAUAUUUACCCCGAGCUGGCGUUGCAUUCGUGCAUAAGCCAGCUUUGGUUGGGCAGGCCAACUCUUCACAGGGUUGGACUGCUCGGGACAGUGUUUGGGGGCCGCAAGGCUUUUAGGCGCUGGCCACAUUGACGCUUGUAUGUUUGACAGAGUUACAGUUGUAACUAAAAAAGACAACUUUUAACAAUGGAUCUCUUGGCUCUU